UACGAAGGGGGGCUAGCGUUGCUCGGAAUCACUGGGCGUAAAGCGCACGUAGGCGGAUUGUUAAGUCAGGGGUGAAAUCCUGGAGCUCAACUCCAGAACUGCCUUUGAUACUGGCGAUCUCGAGUCCGGGAGAGGUGAGUGGAACUGCGAGUGUAGAGGUGAAAUUCGUAGAUAUUCGCAAGAACACCGGUGGCGAAGGCGGCAUCCUGGACCGGUAUUGACGCUGAGGCGCGAAAGCUAGGGGAGCAAACGGGG
rnacentral:rRNA from 1 species